CCGCGCGGGGCGCUCCGGGAUGCCGGGCUGUGGCGCGGCGCCGGCGGGACGCGCCGCUGGCCCGGGGCUUGGCGGGCAGUAUGACCUGUCAGCUUCCACGUUUUCUCCAGAUGGCAGAGUAUUUCAGGUUGAAUAUGCUAUGAAAGCUGUGGAGAAUAGUAGUACAGCAAUUGGGAUAAGGUGUAAAGAUGGAGUUGUCUUUGGAGUAGAAAAACUAGUUCUGUCCAAGCUUUAUGAAGAGGGUUCCAAUAAGCGUCUCUUUAAUGUUGAUCGACAUGUUGGAAUGGCAGUAGCAGGACUUCUGGCAGAUGCUCGUUCUUUGGCGGACAUAGCUAGAGAAGAAGCUUCUAACUUUAGAUCUAACUAUGGCUAUGAUAUUCCAUUAAAGCAUCUUGCAGACAGAGUGGCCAUGUAUGUGCAUGCGUACACGCUAUACAGUGCUGUCAGACCUUUUGGUUGCAGUUUCAUGUUGGGGUCUUAUGAUAAAGAUGACGGUGCACAACUGUACAUGAUUGAUCCAUCAGGUGUUUCAUACGGUUAUUGGGGAUGUGCUAUUGGUAAAGCCAGGCAGGCUGCAAAAACGGAGAUUGAAAAGCUGCAGAUGAAGGAAAUGACCUGCCGUGAUGUUGUUAAAGAGGUUGCAAAAAUAAUCUACAUAGUUCAUGAUGAAGUAAAGGAUAAAGCUUUUGAACUGGAACUCAGCUGGGUUGGAGAAAUAACCAAUGGAAAACAUGAAAUUGUUCCCAAAGAUAUCAGAGAAGAAGCAGAAAAAUAUGCCAAGGAAUCUUUGAAAGAGGAGGAUGAAUCAGAUGAUGACAAUAUGUAACAUAUUGUUACUUCAAGACAAGUUCAACUUUUCUUAACUUAGUACAGGAUAUGCAAAACCAGAAAGAUUCACCUGUUGUAAAUGCUGCCUCCCUCUCUGGUCUUAAGACAUAUCCAGGAUAAAGUCAAAGGGUCCAGCCAUCACCCGAAUUUCAGAAUUACAUGUGACCGAAGAUCAGUUAUAUGCUUAGAGUAAUUUGAUGGGUUUUUUUUUUUUUUUUUUUAAGUAGUCUUGUGUUAAUUUGCAGAUUAAGAUAUUCCAAGGUGAGUCUUCUAUACAGCAUAUAUAUGACUUUCGGUAUUAGUAACACAUGAUAAAAGUACUGCUGCUUUGAACAAUGUUAAGUAUUUGUUGUUAAUCUUUUUACAGAGGAGUAGAUAAUAAAAUGACUUCCUAGGA